AACAACUCUCAGCAACGGAUAUCUUGGCUCUUGCAACGAUGAAGAACGCAGCGAAAUGCGAUACCUAGUGUGAAUUGCAGAAUUCCGCGAAUCAUCGAGUCUUUGAACGCAAGUUGCGCCCGAGGCUUGUCCCGAGGGCAUGCCUGUCUGAGCGUCACCG
rnacentral:rRNA from 1 species